rnacentral:rRNA from 1 species
GUGGGGAAUUUUGGACAAUGGGGGCAACCCUGAUCCAGCCAUUCCGCGUGAGUGAAGAAGGCCUUCGGGUUGUAAAGCUCUUUCGGCAGGAACGAAACGGUGAGCUCUAACAUAGCUCGCUAAUGACGGUACCUGAAGAAGAAGCACCGGCUAACUACGUGCCAGCAGCCGCGGUAAUACGUAGGGUGCGAGCGUUAAUCGGAAUUACUGGGCGUAAAGCGUGCGCAGGCGGUUGUGUAAGACAGGUGUGAAAUCCCCGGGCUUAACCUGGGAACUGCGCUUGUGACUGCACGGCUAGAGUAUGGCAGAGGGGGGUGGAAUUCCACGUGUAGCAGUGAAAUGCGUAGAUAUGCGGAGGAACACCGAUGGCGAAGGCAAUCCCCUGGGCCUGCACUGACGCUCAUGCACGAAAGCGUGGGGAGCAAACAGGAUUAGAAACCCGGGUAGUCC